CGGGGCGUAGCGCAGUUGGUAGCGCGCGUGCUUUGGGAGCAUGAUGUCGGGAGUUCGAGUCUCUCCGCCCCGACCA
rnacentral:tRNA from 1 species